GAUGAACGCUGGCGGCGUGCUUAACACAUGCAAGUCGAACGGAAAGGCCAGUGCUUGCACUGGUACUCGAGUGGCGAACGGGUGAGUAACACGUGGGUGAUCUGCCCUGCACUUCGGGAUAAGCCUGGGAAACUGGGUCUAAUACCGGAUAGGACCACAUUUUGGAUGGUGUGGUGGAAAGUUUUUCGGUGUGGGAUGAGCUCGCGGCCUAUCAGCUUGUUGGUGGGGUAAUGGCCUACCAAGGCGUCGACGGGUAGCCGGCCUGAGAGGGUGUACGGCCACAUUGGGACUGAGAUACGGCCCAGACUCCUACGGGAGGCAGCAGUGGGGAAUAUUGCACAAUGGGCGCAAGCCUGAUGCAGCGACGCCGCGUGGGGGAUGACGGCCUUCGGGUUGUAAACUCCUUUCGCUAGGGACGAAGCGUAUUUGUGACGGUACCUGGAGAAGAAGCACCGGCUAACUACGUGCCAGCCGCCGCAGUAA
rnacentral:rRNA from 1 species